UUAUGCGCCGGGUUCAGGGUGAUCAAGAAUGCUCUGACCUCGGGUGGAGGCUCACAAGUGCACCUCAGUGGGUUGAAACUCGCGACGGAUCCUAACCGGGUACGCUCAAGCGUGUAGUUUUUGUCACUGGCAAGGACUAACGGUCCUCCCUUUA
rnacentral:snRNA from 15 species